GACGAACGCUGGCGGCGUGCUUAACACAUGCAAGUCGAACGGAAAGGCCCUGCUUUUGUGGGGUGCUCGAGUGGCGAACGGGUGAGUAACACGUGAGUAACCUGCCCUUGACUUUGGGAUAACUUCAGGAAACUGGGGCUAAUACCGGAUAGGAGCUCCUGCUGCAUGGUGGGGGUGGGAAAGUUUCGGCGGGUGGGGAUGGACUCGCGGCUUAUCAGCUUGUUGGUGGGGUAGUGGCUUACCAAGGCUUUGACGGGUAGCCGGCCUGAGAGGGUGACCGGCCACAUUGGGACUGAGAUACGGCCCAGACUCCUACGGGAGGCAGCAGUGGGGAAUAUUGCACAGUGGGCGGAAGCCUGAUGCAGCAACGCCGCGUGCGGGAUGACGGCCUUCGGGUUGUAAACCGCUUUCGCCUGUGACGAAGCGUGAGUGACGGUAAUGAGUAAAGAAGCACCGGCUAACUACGUG
rnacentral:rRNA from 1 species